UCUUGGUUAGUAUAGUGGUCAGUAUACCAGCUUGUCAUUUCUAUUCGUUGAAUAAUUGAUGACAUUUCGCUGGGGACCCGGGUUCAAUUCCCGGACCGAGAG
rfam:Pseudomassariella vexata strain CBS 129021 BCR38scaffold_2, whole genome shotgun sequence.